rnacentral:lncRNA from 1 species
GCCUGCUGUCUUUAACAGUUCACAUGUGUUCGUCCUCCCUAUUUGGUCAGCUUGGCAGUUGUUUCUGAAAUCUGAUUCCCGACGCCAUGGGGAUGACCUUUGGUCCGCUUCCCAGCAUUCACCUGCAGUCAGAUUGCUCACUAUAAGCUCCUUACAGAGAAGUGGUUGACUUGGAGUGAAUGGACUGAUGACUGUAGCAGGCAAACUUCUAACCCAAUAGGAGGGAGAAUUUGUAGCUCGUGUUAGGAGACAGCAGCGGACAAUGCGGAGAAUCUAAAAGAGCAUUUCUUCUACUUCGACUCCAGAAUCAGGCCAACCUCCUGGUAAUGGUCAGGACAUAAAAAAGAAACACCGGAAAAAGAAGAGCACAGAAAAAUCUGGUGGUCAAGACGCCUUGAAUUUCUUACCUGAUACUGCUGCACCGCUGGCUGCUGAUGUCUCCCCAUUGAGUACAGGGUGUUCAAGCAUCGGUAAUGAAGGCAUCUGUAGCUACACUGCUGAAGAUUUACUCAAUCCGCAUUCAUGUGCAGUGUCUUCAGCGGUGACAGGCCAGAGCAAUAUCCUGAAAGAACAUGGAGAACAAGCUGGCUCCAGCUUCUUAAUCCAGGCUGCAGGAGCAGAUGCUAAGG